GAGUAACGCGUGAGUAACCUGCCCUGGAGUGGGGGACAACAGUUGGAAACGACUGCUAAUACCGCAUAAGCCCACGAUCCGGCAUCGGAUUGAGGGAAAAGGAUUUAUUCGCUUCAGGAUGGACUCGCGUCCAAUUAGCUAGUUGGUGAGGUAACGGCCCACCAAGGCGACGAUUGGUAGCCGGACUGAGAGGUUGAACGGCCACAUUGGGACUGAGACACGGCCCAGACUCCUACGGGAGGCAGCAGUGGGGGAUAUUGCACAAUGGGGGAAACCCUGAUGCAGCGACGCCGCGUGGAGGAAGAAGGUUUUCGGAUUGUAAACUCCUGUCGUUAGGGACGAUAAUGACGGUACCUAACAAGAAAGCACCGGCUAACUACGUGCCAGCAGCCGCGGUAAAACGUAGGGUGCAAGCGUUGUCCGGAAUUACUGGGUGUAAAGGGAGCGCAGGCGGACCGGCAAGUUGGAAGUGAAAACUAUGGGCUCAACCCAUAAAUUGCUUUCAAAACUGCUGGCCUUGAGUAGUGCAGAGGUAGGUGGAAUUCCCGGUGUAGCGGUGGAAUGCGUAGAUAUCGGG
rnacentral:rRNA from 1 species